AAGGGCCCCACAAGAACGCGUGGAGCAUGUGGCUUAAUUUGACCCAACACGAGAAAUCUUACCGGGUCCGGACACACUGAGGACUGACAGGUAUUAUUGCAGUUCAACUGCAUGUUAAAUAUGCUAGUCCUUUCAUGAUUAUGUGAUAGGUGGUGCAUGGCCGUUCUUAGUUCGUGGAGUGAUCUGUCUGCUUAAUUGCGUUUCACUAAGGGUUUAUUUUUAACUUUAAGUUAUAUAUUUUGACCCCUACUUUAAUUAGUAGUGUGUUUUGUCAACUUUAUAAUUUUAUAAUAAAACCCUGAAAGCAACGAACGUGACCG
rnacentral:rRNA from 1 species